rnacentral:lncRNA from 1 species
CUAAAACACCUUAAAAUCAGAAUCUAACUCACUGGAUAUGCUUUAUGAAAUUUUAAUAUUUUAAAAGGGUUAAUUUCAUGCAGAUCCUAUAAAUAUAAUGAAUUGCAAAUAUAUCGAUACGAAUUUCAACUUUUAUAUGUUGUUUGUGCAAAAGUGCUGAUGUUUUUAAAUAUAUCAUUUUGAUUUGUUACCGUUAAAAUACUGUCUAUUUUAUAAGUGAUAUGACUUUUUUGCCAUUACAAAUAUGUCCCUUAAAAAGUCCCAAAUGUUAAUUAAAGAGGGGUAAAAAGAUUAAUUUACUCCAUUAACUAAUUACAGUUAAGUUUUUAACCUACGAUUAACUAAAAUUUUUUAACGAAUUUUAACGGCAGAAACAUAUUCGAAAAUAUAAGGACUUACACGAACAACACAUAAAAGUUGAAUUUUAUCGGGAUAUAUUUGCAAUUCACUAUAUUUACAGAAAUCUGUAUGAAUUUAACCCAUUUUAAAAGUUAUAAAUUAAAUCGCAGAUCAAAUAAAGACACUUUCUCUAUCAUUAAUUAUUGAGACC